rnacentral:lncRNA from 1 species
AUGAGAAUACAGUUUCCUCCGAAAAAAUCUUAGGCUGAUCUUGGAAGAAAGACCCCCUGGAUCAUCUAAAAAUAAAGUUUUCUAUUUAAAGAUGAAAAAACGGAAGCAAAACCAUUAAGUGCCUUCCCCAAGGUCUUAAAAGAAGUCACCAAGAAGGUGGUGUGGCUCAAGUCUCCUGACUCCAGUUUACUAUUUCCCACAAUAAUGUUGGAAAACCACAUUGGAACGGGAAGACUCAUUCCAAGUACUGCUGUCACACCAGCAAGCUUCAAAGAACAUCCCUGUAGCUAAAUGGUGUUCAAAGUAAACAUGGAGAACAGAAAGCAUCCAUCUCUACCUAGUGGGGCAAAAAAUGACUGAAUUCCCAUACCAUAUAAAUACCCCAUGAAAAGACAGAGGAAUCCUUGAUCCACCCAACAUUCACUGAGUAUCUGCCUUGUGGCAAGCACUGCGGAUGUGCUUGGAUACAAAGAUAAAUAAAACGUGGGCUCCACUCCCAGCAGUUCAACAUCUAGCCGUCUUUGUCCCAUGCUCUUAAAUCUUGCUAAGGCUUGGGUUUUGUUUGUAAUAGAAAUUCUAAAGCAGGGACAGAAGAAGUUAUCUUUUCUAAAUUGCCCACCUCUGUUGUCUAAUUAUUCCACUGAGGAAAACACUUGGUCCUGGAUUACUUCGCUGAGCUCAGAUAUGUUUUGCUGACACACAGAGUCUGGGCAGCAUCCAGCCCCCCGUUUACUCCCUGGUCUUUAAGUCUAGUAAGUAUUUUAUCAUUUACACCUUUCGAUGUCCAAAGAGAGUGCCGCUCGGGUUUAACACAUGUAAUUUCCUUUACUACCUCCCCAAAUAACAGGGUCAUUUCAGGACCAGGACAGUUUGGCACUGGGACGUGUUUCCCAGAAGUACUAAUAGUUCGAGAGAGGAGCAAGUGUCUUCACAUCUGCAGGUCUGGGUGCCGAACUUUCUACUGUCGAAGCCUGAGGUGAGAUGUCUGGCCGUGUUGCUAGUGCUCGUCGCCCUCAAGAAGCCAAACAGGCUCUCAGAGUCUCUCAGGCCCUGCCCCCGGACGUGGCCCCGCCCCAGAGCAUGCUGGGCAGGACCUCCCCAUAGAUCCCUCCCAUUGCCAAUGUAUUCCUCCAGAGGAUUCUGAGCUCUGCUUGGUGUUUCCAGCUGUGAUGAGGUAAAUGUAGUCUUGGUCCUCUGGAAAAGUAGAUAAUUAAGGCAGAUAGUCCACACAUGUGAAAGUGUUGUGACUUGGAAAGGGUGGGCAGAUCCCAGGUUGGGAGGAUUAAGGAAAGCAUUGAGGGAAACCUUUCAGUAUGGUGGGAAGGAAGGAGGAAAGAAGAGAUGGAGGAUCUCAUUUUGGUUUUGGUUUUGUUUUGUUUUGAAGUUUUUAUGAAGAAAAGUUCCCAUCUGAUGACUUCUCUGUUUCCCUCUGGUGGUCCAGCACAUAUGAUCAAUGAGCGAGGAGUGUGGACAAGGUGUAGGAAAGUGGAAUUGUUUUGAGAACUUAGGCAAGCGAGUUGACUGAGAAAACAAUCACAGAAGCUCCCCGAGACAGGGCCUCUGUUGUGCCUCCACUGGGUGUCCCAAGUGCUUGGAAGAGCGU